UCAAAGGAAUUGACGGGGAGCACCACAACGGGUGGAGCUUGCGGUUUAAUUGGAUUCAACGCCGGAAAUCUUACCGGGACCGACAGCAAUAUGAAGGCCAGGCUGAAGACUUUGCCGGAUUAGCUGAGAGGUGGUGCAUGGCCGUCGUCAGUUCGUACUGUGAAGCAUCCUGUUAAGUCAGGCAACGAGCGAGACCCACGCCCACAGUUGCCAGCGUACUCUCUGGAGUGACGGGUACACUGUGGGACCGCCGCUGCUAAAGCGGAGGAAGGAAUGGGCAACGGUAGGUCAGUAUGCCCCGAAUAUCCCGGGCUACACGCGAGCUACAAUGGUUGGUACAAUGGGUAUCUACCCCGAAAGGGGACGGGAAUCUCCUAAAACCAAUCUUAGUUCGGAUUGAGGGCUGCAACUCGCCCUCAUGAAGCUGGAAUCCGUAGUAAUCGCGUUUCAACAGAACGCGGUGAAUACGUCCCUGCUCCUC
rnacentral:rRNA from 1 species